rnacentral:rRNA from 1 species
GUGAGGAAUAUUGCGCAAUGGAGGCAACUCUGACGCAGCCAUGCCGCGUGCAGGAAGAAGGCGCUACGCGUUGUAAACUGCUUUUAACCGGGAAGAAACCCCAGGACGUGUCCUGGGUUGACGGUACCGGAGGAAUAAGCACCGGCUAACUUCAUGCCAGCAGCCGCGGUAAUACGAAGGGUGCAAGCGUUAUCCGGAUUCAUUGGGUUUAAAGGGUGCGUAGGCGGAGCGUUAAGUCAGUGGUGAAAUCCUGCAGCUUAACUGUAGACUUGCCAUUGAUACUGGCGCUCUUGAGUGCGCUUGAAGUGGGCGGAAUGUGCCGUGUAGCGGUGAAAUGCUUAGAUAUGGCACAGAACACCAAUUGCGAAGGCAGCUCACUAAGGCGAUACUGACGCUGAGGCACGAAAGCGUGGGGAUCGAACAGGAUUAGAAACCCUGGUAGUCC